rnacentral:rRNA from 1 species
GGGCCCGCACAAGCGGUGGAGCAUGUGGUUUAAUUCGAUGAUACGCGAGGAACCUUACCAGGGCUUAAAUGUAGUUUGACCGGUCUGGAAACAGACUUUCUCUUCGGAGCAGAUUACAAGGUGCUGCAUGGUUGUCGUCAGCUCGUGCCGUGAGGUGUUAGGUUAAGUCCUGCAACGAGCGCAACCCCUAUUCUUAGUUGCCAGCGGUUCGGCCGGGGACUCUAAGAAGACUGCCAGCGCAAGCUGAGAGGAAGGUGGGGAUGACGUCAAAUCAUCACGGCCCUUACGUCCUGGGCUACACACGUGCUACAAUGGUAGAGACAGAGGGCAGCCACCUGGUGACAGGGAGCGAAUCCUUAAACUCUAUCUCAGUUCGGAUUGCACUCUGCAACUCGGGUGCAUGAAGUUGGAAUCGCUAGUAA